rnacentral:rRNA from 1 species
UAACGGCGAGUGAAGCGGCAACAGCUCAAAUUUGAAAUCUGGCUCUUUUAGAGUCCGAGUUGUAAUUUGCAGAGGGCGCUUUGGCUUUGGCAGCGGUCCAAGUUCCUUGGAACAGGACGUCACAGAGGGUGAGAAUCCCGUACGUGGUCGCUAGCUAUUGCCGUGUAAAGCCCCUUCGACGAGUCGAGUUGUUUGGGAAUGCAGCUCUAAAUGGGAGGUAAAUUUCUUCUAAAGCUAAAUACUGGCCAGAGACCGAUAGCGCACAAGUAGAGUGAUCGAAAGAUGAAAAGCACUUUGGAAAGAGAGUCAAACAGCACGUGAAAUUGUUGAAAGGGAAGCGCUUGCAGCCAGACUUGCUUGCAGUUGCUCACCCGGGCCUCUGUGCCCGGUGCAUUCUUCUGCAGGCAGGCCAGCAUCAGUUUGGGCGGUGGGAUAAAGGUCUCUGUCACGUACCUCUCUUCGGGGAGGCCUUAUAGGGGAGGCGACAUACCACCAGCCUGGACUGAGGUCCGCGCAUUUAUGCUAGGAUGCUGGCGUAAUGGCUGUAAGCGGCCCGUCUUGAAACACGGACCAAGGAGUCUAACAUCUAUGCGAGUGUUUGGGUGUCAAGCCCGAACGCGUAAUGAAAGUGAACGGAGGUGGGAACCCGCAAGGGUGCACCAUCGACCGAUCCUGAUGUCUUCGGAAGGAUUUGAGUAAGAGCAUGGCUGUUGGGACCCGAAAGAUGGUGAACUAUGCUUGAAUAGGGUGAAGCCAGAGGAAACUCUGGUGGAGGCUCCGCAGCGGUUCUGACGUGCAAAUCGAUCGUCAAAUUUGGGCAUAGGGGCGAAAGACUAA